rnacentral:rRNA from 1 species
UACGUAGGGGGCAAGCGUUGUCCGGAUUCAUUGGGCGUAAAGAGCGUGUAGGCGGUCAGGCAGGUCGGCUGUGAAAACUCGAGGCUCAACCUCGAGAUGUCGGCCGAAACCAUCUGGCUAGAGUCCGGAAGAGGAGAGUGGAAUUCCCGGUGUAGCGGUGAAAUGCGCAGAUAUCGGGAAGAACACCCGUGGCGAAGGCGGCUCUCUGGUACGGGACUGACGCUGAGACGCGAAAGCGUGGGGAGCGAACAGG